rnacentral:rRNA from 1 species
UACGUAGGGUGCGAGCGUUAAUCGGAAUUACUGGGCGUAAAGCGUGCGCAGGCGGCUCGUUAAGUCGGGUGUGAAAGCCCCGAGCUUAACUUGGGAAUUGCGCUUGUGACUGGCGUGCUGGAGUGUGGCAGAGGGAGGUGGAAUUCCACGUGUAGCAGUGAAAUGCGUAGAGAUGUGGAGGAACACCGAUGGCGAAGGCAGCCUCCUGGGCCAGCACUGACGCUCAUGCACGAAAGCGUGGGGAGCAAACAGG